rnacentral:rRNA from 1 species
GUAGGUGGCAAGCGUUGUCCGGAAUUAUUGGGCGUAAAGCGCGCGCAGGCGGUUCUUUAAGUCUGAUGUGAAAGCCCACGGCUCAACCGUGGAGGGUCAUUGGAAACUGGAGAACUUGAGUACAGAAGAGGAAAGCGGAAUUCCACGUGUAGCGGUGAAAUGCGUAGAGAUGUGGAGGAACACCAGUGGCGAAGGCGGCUUUCUGGUCUGUAACUGACGCUGAGGCGCGAAAGCGUGGGGAGCAAACAGGAUUAGAUACCCUGGUAGUCCACGCCGUAAACGAUGAGUGCUAAGUGUUAGGGGGGUUUUACCGCCCCCCUUAGUGCUGCAGCUAACGCAUUAAGCACUCCGCCUGGGAGUACGGCCGCAAGGCUG